rnacentral:rRNA from 1 species
AACGCUAGCUACAGGCUUAACACAUGCAAGUCGAGGGGCAGCAUGGUCUUAGCUUGCUAAGGCCGAUGGCGACCGGCGCACGGGUGAGUAACACGUAUCCAACCUGCCGUCUACUCUUGGACAGCCUUCUGAAAGGAAGAUUAAUACAAGAUGGCAUCAUGAGUCCGCAUGUUCACAUGAUUAAAGGUAUUCCGGUAGACGAUGGGGAUGCGUUCCAUUAGAUAGUAGGCGGGGUAACGGCCCACCUAGUCUUCGAUGGAUAGGGGUUCUGAGAGGAAGGUCCCCCACAUUGGAACUGAGACACGGUCCAAACUCCUACGGGAGGCAGCAGUGAGGAAUAUUGGUCAAUGGGCGAGAGCCUGAACCAGCCAAGUAGCGUGAAGGAUGACUGCCCUAUGGGUUGUAAACUCCUUUUAUAAAGGAAUAAAGUCGGGUAUGGAUACCCGUUUGCAUGUACUUUAUGAAUAAGGAUCGGCUAACUCCGUGCCAGCAGCCGCGGUAAUACGGAGGAUCCGAGCGUUAUCCAGAUUUAUUGGGUUUAAAGGGAGCGUAGAUGGAUGUUUAAGUCAGUUGUGAAAGUUUGCGGCUCAACCGUAAAAUUGCAGUUGAUACUGGAUAUCUUGAGUGCAGUUGAGGCAGGCGGAAUUCGUGGUGUAGCGGUGAAAUGCUUAGAUAUCACGAAGAACUCCGAUUG